UACGUAGGGGGCAAGCGUUGUCCGGAAUCAUUGGGCGUAAAGAGCGUGUAGGCGGCCCGGUAAGUCCGCUGUGAAAGUCCAGGGCUCAACCCUGGAAUGCCGGUGGAAACUGUCGGGCUAGAGUCCGGAAGAGGCGAGUGGAACUCCUGGUGUAGCGGUGAAAUGCGCGGAUAUCAGGAGGAACACCAAUGGCGAAGGCAGCUCGCUGGGACGGUACUGACGCUGAGACGCGAAAGCGUGGGGAGCAAACAGG
rnacentral:rRNA from 1 species